UACGUAGGGUGCGAGCGUUAAUCGGAAUUACUGGGCGUAAAGCGUGCGCAGGCGGUUUUGUAAGCCAGAUGUGAAAUCCCCGGGCUCAACCUGGGAAUGGCAUUUGGGACUGCAAGGCUGGAGUACGGCAGAGGAGACUGGAAUUCCUGGUGUAGCAGUGAAAUGCGUAGAGAUCAGGAGGAAUACCGAUGGCGAGGGCAGGUCUCUGGGCUGAUACUGACGCUCAUGCACGAAAGCGUGGGGAGCAAACAGG
rnacentral:rRNA from 1 species